UACGUAGGGUGCAAGCGUUGUCCGGAAUUAUUGGGCGUAAAGAGCUCGUAGGCGGUCUGUUACGUCGGCUGUGAAAACCUGGGGCUCAACUCCGGGCCUGCAGCCGAUACGGGCAGACUAGAGUUCGGCAGGGGGAGACUGGAAUUCCUGGUGUAGCGGUGAAAUGCGCAGAUAAUCAGGAGGAACACCGGUGGCGAAGGCGGGUCUCCUGGGCCGAAACUGACGCUGAGGAGCGAAAGCGUGGGGGAGCAAACAG
rnacentral:rRNA from 1 species